GCAAAACUGAGGUGACACUGGUAGGAAGAAGGGUUGUGACCAGUAUAUCUUGGUCUUGUGAACUUGCAACAGUCUAGAACAAGACAGAAGGGCCUGAAUGGGAAAGAGGUCUCUGAAUGCAAAAAGCUAUGAGGAGAGCAGCUGAGAAAUGAUAGCGAAAUUGUUAUGGACAAGAGGAAAAGAACAGAGAAGAGGUAGUGAAAGGAUGGAAAAGGAGUCCAGAAAUAAGUGUUUAAAACUGCUGCAGCUGCGUAUCCCCCCUCCACAAAGAAACACCACCAUCACUUGCACAAAACCAAGUACAGUAUAAGGAUUUUGGAAAGGAUCAUGUAAUAAUAGUUUAGGAGAUAAUUAUAAUAAUGUGAUAUACAUUUGCAAAGCGCUACCUGUCAACUGCCUGAUAAACCUAGAUUACUACUCUUGUUCAGGUUUCUACAUGAAUCUCGCUUCAGAACAAUCCCAAAGUGAAGAAAAGAGUUACAAAAUACUUUCAACAAUAUAAAUGAUCUUUUCGUUUCCCCCACUCCCUGUCACUCUCCAUUUGGAUGAUUUAUAUAAAGCUUAUUUCUUCGUG